CCUACGGGAGGCAGCAGUGGGGAAUAUUGCACAAUGGGGGGAACCCUGAUGCAGCGACGCCGCGUGAGCGAGGAAGUAUUUCGGUAUGUUAAGCUCUAUCAGCAGGGACGAAAAAAGACGGUACCUGACUAAGGAGCCCCGGCCAACUACGUGCCAGCAGCCGCGGUAAUACGUAGGGGGCAAGCGUUAUCCGGAUUUACUGGGUGUAAAGGGAGCGUAGACGGCAAGGCAAGCCAGCAGUGAAAGGGUAGGGCUCAACCCUGUACAUGCUUUUGGAACUGUGGUGCUAGAGUGCAGGAGAGGUAAGUGGAAUUCGUGGUGUAGCGGUGAAAUGCGUAGAUAUUAGGAGGAACGCCAGUGGCGAAGGCGGCUUACUGGACUGUAACUGACGUUGAGGCUCGAAAGCGUGGGGAGCGAACAGGAUUAGAUACCCCUGUAGUC
rnacentral:rRNA from 1 species